GUGGGGAAUAUUGGACAAUGGGCGAAAGCCUGAUCCAGCAAUGCCGCGUGAGUGAUGAAGGCCUUAGGGUUGUAAAGCUCUUUUACCAGGGAUGAUAAUGACAGUACCUGGAGAAUAAGCUCCGGCUAACUCCGUGCCAGCAGCCGCGGUAAUACGGAGGGAGCUAGCGUUGUUCGGAAUUACUGGGCGUAAAGCGCACGUAGGCGGCUACUCAAGUCAGAGGUGAAAGCCCGGGGCUCAACCCCGGAACUGCCUUUGAAACUAGGUAGCUAGAAUCUUGGAGAGGUCAGUGGAAUUCCGAGUGUAGAGGUGAAAUUCGUAGAUAUUCGGAAGAACACCAGUGGCGAAGGCGACUGACUGGACAAGUAUUGACGCUGAGGUGCGAAAGCGUGGGGAGCAAACAGGAUUAGAUACCCUAGUAGUCC
rnacentral:rRNA from 1 species